rnacentral:rRNA from 1 species
CCUACGGGUGACAGCAGUGGGGAAUAUUGGGCAAUGGGCGCAAGCCUGACCCAGCAACGCCGCGUGAAGGAAGAAGGCCCUCGGGUUGUAAACCUCUUUUGUCAGGGACGAAGAAAGCGACGGUAUCUGACGAAUAAGCGACGGCCAACUACGCGCCAGCAGCCGCGGUAAUACGGAGGGGGCAAGCGUUGUUAGGAUUUACUGGGUGUAAAGGGUGUGUAGGCGGGACUGCAAGUCAGAUGUGAAAUUCCAGGGCUCAACCCUGGGACUGCAUUUGAAACUGUGGUGCUUGAGUGAUGGAGAGGCAGGCGGAAUUCCGGGUGUAGCGGUGAAAUGCGUAGAUAUACGGAGGAACACCAGUGGCGAAGGCGGCCUACUGGACAUUAACUGACGCUGAGGCGCGAAAGCGUGGGGAGCAAACAGGAUUAGAUACCCGGGUAGUC